rnacentral:rRNA from 1 species
GACGAACGCUGGCGGCGUGCUUAACACAUGCAAGUCGAACGGAAAGGCCCUGCUCUUGUGGGGCGCUCGAGUGGCGAACGGGUGAGUAACACGUGAGUAACCUGUCCUUGUCUUUGGGAUAACUUCAGGAAACUGGGGCUCAUACCGGAUAGGAGCUCCUGCUGCAUGGUGGGGGUUGGAAAGUUUCGGCGGUUGGGGAUGGACUCGCGGCUUAUCAGCUUGUUGGUGGGGUAGUGGCUUACCAAGGCUUUGACGGGUAGCCGGCCUGAGAGGGUGACCGGCCACAUGGGGACUGAGAGACGGCCCAGACGCCUACGGGAGGCAGCAGUGGGGAAUAUUGCACAAUGGGCGGAAGCCUGAUGCAGCAACGCCGCGUGCGGGAUGACGGCCUUCGGGUUGUAAACCGCUUUCGCCUGUGACGAAGCGUGAGUGACGGUAAUGGGUAAAGAAGCACCGGCUAACUACGUG